rnacentral:rRNA from 1 species
CCUACGGGUGGCAGCAGUGAGGAAUAUUGGUCAAUGGACGAGCGUCUGAACCAGCCAAGUAGCGUGAAGGAUGACUGCCCUAUGGGUUGUAAACUUCUUUUAUAUGGGAAUAAAAUGUUCCACGUGUGGGAUUUUGUAUGUACCAUAUGAAUAAGGAUCGGCUAACUCCGUGCCAGCAGCCGCGGUAAUCCGGAGGAUCCGAGCGUUAUCCGGAUUUAUUGGGUUUAAAGGGAUCGUAGGUGGAUUGUUAAGUCAGUUGGGAAAGUUUGCGGCUCAACAGUAAAAUUGUAGUUGAAACUGGAAGUCUUGAGUACAGUAGAGGUGGGCGGAAUUCGUGGUGUAGCGGUGAAAUGCUUAGAUAUCACGAAGAACUCCGAUUGCGAAGGCAGCUCACUGGACUGCAACUGACACUGAGGCUCGAAAGUGUGGGUAUCAAACAGGAUUAGAUACCCCAGUAGUC